rnacentral:rRNA from 1 species
CCCUUAGAUGUUCUGGGCUGCACGCGCGCUACACUGAUGCGUUCAACGAGUUUUCAUCCUUGCCCGGUAGGGUUGGGUAAUCUUCUGAAAACGCAUCGUGAUGGGGAUAGAUUAUUGUAAUUAUUAAUCUUCAACGAGGAAUUCCUAGUAAGCGCGAAUCAUCAGUUCGUGCUGAUUACGUCCCUGCCCUUUGUACACACCGCCCGUCGCUCCUACCGAUUGGAUGGUCCGGUGAAGCCUCGGGAUUGUGGUUCUUGCCGCUUUAUUGUGGCGUGACCGCGAGAACUUGUCUAAACCUUAUCAUCUAGAGGAAGGUGAAGUCGUAACA